CCCGCUGAAUUUAAGCAUAUUAAUAAGCGGAGGAAAAGAAACUAACAAGGAUUCCCCUAGUAAUGGCGAAUGAAGCGGGAAAAGCUCAAAUUUAAAAUCUCCGUUGCUUGCAACGGCGAAUUGUAGUUUCGAGAAGCACUUUCUCGGCGGAUCCGAGGUCGUCCAAGUUGCUUGGAACAGCACGUCGUAGAGGGUGAAAACCCCGUCUGCGGCGACCUCGGCCGUUCACGAUGUGCUUUCGACGAGUCGGGUUGUUUGGGAAUGCAGCCCAAAAUGGGUGGUAAACUCCAUCUAAAGCUAAAUAUUGGCACGAGACCGAUAGCGAACAAGUACCGUGAGGGAAAGAUGAAAAGCACUUUGAAAAAAGAGUUAAAAAGUACGUGAAACCGUUAAAAGGGAAACGAAUGGGGUUAGCAAUGCGUCGUGCGAGAUUCAGCCGGUGGGUGGGCCAGGCGGGCGGUUGGCGGAUCUGAAUGGACCGCUGCCGUUCGGGUUGGUUUCCCGACCGUCGCACUUCUCGCAGGCGCGCGCCAACGUCGGUUAGGGCUGGGUCUCAAAGGCGGUGGAAAGGUAGGUUUUGACUCUCGGGCCCGAAGUGUUACAGUCCUCCGUUUGUCAUGGCCCGGACCUGACCGAGGAGCUUGCGGUGCAUGCCGUUCGGCUAGGGUCCCGUCUUCCCGGUCGGUCGUCGAAUGCGGUGGACUGCGUGCAGUGCGCCGCGACUGCUGCCGGUCGCGAGGGCGGUGAUUUCGUACUAUGCACCCACGACGUUGGCGGUCAUAUGGCCUCAUCCGACCCGUCUUGAAACACGG
rnacentral:rRNA from 1 species